GCGGGUACGGGCGGUGGAGGGCUUAGUGGGAAAGACAUCUCAAACUACUCGUCAGAAGGAAAGUUACAGUGCCGCAGGGAUACGUACUUGACGAUUACGUCAGACGUUGGCGAUUCCAGUAGGUCAAUCAUCGAAGCAGCUGCGGGUCAACGUCUUUCGGUAUGUCGUCAAGGCCAACCUACCGGACAAGAGCGAAGACGACGAGGUGUUCCUGACAGACGUAUAUCAUGUCCAUCAGGACGACACAUUCCCGCCACACCCAACAUAGAGACUCUUACCGCCACAAGGGAAGUAGGUCGAGUCCUUUCACGAGAAGUGGC